rnacentral:rRNA from 1 species
AGCGUACACGGUGGAUGCCCUGGCAGUCAGAGGCGAUGAAGGACGUGCUAAUCUGCGAUAAGCGUCGGUGAGGUGAUAUGAACCGUUAUAACCGGCGAUUUCCGAAUGGGGAAACCCAGUGUGUUUCGACACACUAUCAUUAACUGAAUCCAUAGGUUAAUGAGGCGAACCGGGGGAACUGAAACAUCUAAGUACCCCGAGGAAAAGAAAUCAACCGAGAUUCCCCCAGUAGCGGCGAGCGAACGGGGAGGAGCCCAGAGCCUGAAUCAGUGUGUGUGUUAGUGGAAGCGUCUGGAAAGGCGCGCGAUACAGGGUGACAGCCCCGUACACAAAAAUGCACAUAUUGUGAGCUCGAUGAGUAGGGCGGGACACGUGGUAUCCUGUCUGAAUAUGGGGGGACCAUCCUCCAAGGCUAAAUACUCCUGACUGACCGAUAGUGAACCAGUACCGUGAGGGAAAGGCGAAAAGAACCCCGGCGAGGGGAGUGAAAAAGAACCUGAAACCGUGUACGUACAAGCAGUGGGAGCCUCUUAAUGGGGUGACUGCGUACCUUUUGUAUAAUGGGUCAGCGACUUAUAUUCUGUAGCAAGGUUAACCGAAUAGGGGAGCCGAAGGGAAACCGAGUCUUAACUGGGCGUUAAGUUGCAGGGUAUAGACCCGAAACCCGGUGAUCUAGCCAUGGGCAGGUUGAAGGUUGGGUAACACUAACUGGAGGACCGAACCGACUAAUGUUGAAAAAUUAGCGGAUGACUUGUGGCUGGGGGUGAAAGGCCAAUCAAACCGGGAGAUAGCUGGUUCUCCCCGAAAGCUAUUUAGGUAGCGCCUCGUGAAUUCAUCUCCGGGGGUAGAGCACUGUUUCGGCAAGGGGGUCAUCCCGACUUACCAACCCGAUGCAAACUGCGAAUACCGGAGAAUGUUAUCACGGGAGACACACGGCGGGUGCUAACGUCCGUCGUGAAGAGGGAAACAACCCAGACCGCCAGCUAAGGUCCCAAAGUCAUGGUUAAGUGGGAAACGAUGUGGGAAGGCCCAGACAGCCAGGAUGUUGGCUUAGAAGCAGCCAUCAUUUAAAGAAAGCGUAAUAGCUCACUGGUCGAGUCGGCCUGCGCGGAAGAUGUAACGGGGCUAAACCAUGCACCGAAGCUGCGGCAGCGACACUAUGUGUUGUUGGGUAGGGGAGCGUUCUGUAAGCCUGUGAAGGUGGCCUGUGAGGGUUGCUGGAGGUAUCAGAAGUGCGAAUGCUGACAUAAGUAACGAUAAAGCGGGUGAAAAGCCCGCUCGCCGGAAGACCAAGGGUUCCUGUCCAACGUUAAUCGGGGCAGGGUGAGUCGACCCCUAAGGCGAGGCCGAAAGGCGUAGUCGAUGGGAAACAGGUUAAUAUUCCUGUACUUGGUGUUACUGCGAAGGGGGGACGGAGAAGGCUAUGUUGGCCGGGCGACGGUUGUCCCGGUUUAAGCGUGUAGGCUGGUUUUCCAGGCAAAUCCGGAAAAUCAAGGCUGAGGCGUGAUGACGAGGCACUACGGUGCUGAAGUGACAAAUGCCCUGCUUCCAGGAAAAGCCUCUAAGCAUCAGGUAACAUCAAAUCGUACCCCAAACCGACACAGGUGGUCAGGUAGAGAAUACCAAGGCGCUUGAGAGAACUCGGGUGAAGGAACUAGGCAAAAUGGUGCCGUAACUUCGGGAGAAGGCACGCUGAUAUGUAGGUGAAGCGACUUGCUCGUGGAGCUGAAAUCAGUCGAAGAUACCAGCUGGCUGCAACUGUUUAUUAAAAACACAGCACUGUGCAAACACGAAAGUGGACGUAUACGGUGUGACGCCUGCCCGGUGCCGGAAGGUUAAUUGAUGGGGUUAGCGGUAACGCGAAGCUCUUGAUCGAAGCCCCGGUAAACGGCGGCCGUAACUAUAACGGUCCUAAGGUAGCGAAAUUCCUUGUCGGGUAAGUUCCGACCUGCACGAAUGGCGUAAUGAUGGCCAGGCUGUCUCCACCCGAGACUCAGUGAAAUUGAACUCGCUGUGAAGAUGCAGUGUACCCGCGGCAAGACGGAAAGACCCCGUGAACCUUUACUAUAGCUUGACACUGAACAUUGAGCCUUGAUGUGUAGGAUAGGUGGGAGGCUUUGAAGUGUGGACGCCAGUCUGCAUGGAGCCGACCUUGAAAUACCACCCUUUAAUGUUUGAUGUUCUAACGUUGGCCCGUAAUCCGGGUUGCGGACAGUGUCUGGUGGGUAGUUUGACUGGGGCGGUCUCCUCCUAAAGAGUAACGGAGGAGCACGAAGGUUGGCUAAUCCUGGUCGGACAUCAGGAGGUUAGUGCAAUGGCAUAAGCCAGCUUGACUGCGAGCGUGACGGCGCGAGCAGGUGCGAAAGCAGGUCAUAGUGAUCCGGUGGUUCUGAAUGGAAGGGCCAUCGCUCAACGGAUAAAAGGUACUCCGGGGAUAACAGGCUGAUACCGCCCAAGAGUUCAUAUCGACGGCGGUGUUUGGCACCUCGAUGUCGGCUCAUCACAUCCUGGGGCUGAAGUAGGUCCCAAGGGUAUGGCUGUUCGCCAUUUAAAGUGGUACGCGAGCUGGGUUUAGAACGUCGUGAGACAGUUCGGUCCCUAUCUGCCGUGGGCGCUGGAGAACUGAGGGGGGCUGCUCCUAGUACGAGAGGACCGGAGUGGACGCAUCACUGGUGUUCGGGUUGUCAUGCCAAUGGCACUGCCCGGUAGCUAAAUGCGGAAGAGAUAAGUGCUGAAAGCAUCUAAGCACGAAACUUGCCCCGAGAUGAGUUCUCCCUGACUCCUUGA